UGCACACAUGCUUGAAUUUGUUGGCAAGUGGAGAAAUGAGAGAUGUUUAGAAGGGUUUAGAGGAGAAUGGGAUAACUGUAUGGACAAGUCAUUCCUCAUAAUCCUCAAAGGAGAUGUGAUAUGAGAAUAUCAGGGUGAACACGAGAUACACAAAGGGUGCCCCAGCUUGAUGUUAUGGAAAAUGAGCUGGGGUUUGGAUCCAUGAAAGUUAGGGUGAGAAAAUGAGAUUGGCAAAGCUGCCCCAGUCUUGAGGUUAUGGAUUGAUGAAAAACUUGUGUGAGACUCACAAAGUUAUCCCGGUUUUUGUUUGCUUUUUUCUCUUUGUUUAUUGUGGCAUGGGUUGAUGAUAAACUCGGGUGAGACUCACAAUGUUGUCCCGGUUUUUGUUUGGCAAGGGGUUCCAUUUGGAAGAGGUAUUGGACAUGAAAAGGAUCGGUUAAAAGGAUGACCCCAAAUUAGUUUGAUUUUUCUUUUGCAUGCUUCUGGUUAGGUGGCAGGGUGAUCCCCUCUUCCCGAGACAUUACUUUUUUCUUUUUUUUUUCUUUUUUUCUCUGACACGUUGGUAGUCAUUUCACUUUAUCGCAAAAUUAAACUUUAUGAAAAUUUGAGCAAUCAUUAUCCAAUCUGCAUGGACUUUGUUAGGCUUGUAACGUGGCUAAAGGCUAAAAGGAAUUAGAAGAAAAGGUAUAAAGGCCCAAAUGAAUGUUUGUUGGUUA
rnacentral:lncRNA from 1 species